UGUUCUUUAAGUUUUAUCAUCUCACAUUUGGAUGUUUGUAUUUCUUUCUAACCAUGAUUGGUUGAUUUACCUCUUCACUAGCUAACUUAUAUGUGGUUUACGUACUUAUUUUGUUGUGGAAUAGUCCUUUUUAUGUUGUCAUUUAAGUGAUAAAUUAUAUUAUUUGUUCUCUUUUUAUAGGUGUCCAAAAUGAAGAAAGAUAUGAAGAAAAUGAUGAAGAUAUUGACCUUACUUGAGAAGAUUUUUGGGUUGUGGAUAAAUGCUCUAAUAUCAAUAGUUUUGUGUUGAAUAUUUUGAAACUUAUCGUGACUUGAACUUGCUACAGUGUAAAAACUUAACUAAUCAUUUUGGACUUGAUUACAUUUUGCUUUUGGGUUUAAAUUACCAGCUUGUUGCAUAGUUUGAAUUAUGAGAUUAUUAAUGAAUGAUUUUGUUUUUUGAUGAGUAUAUAUUGUGUUAUAAUUUAUAAAGCAUUGCAACAGAAUAAAAAAAGAGUCGCAUUAGAUGCUAUGGCAACAGUUUAAUGUCAUUGGAAUAGAGUCUAUUGCAACGGUUAGUAACCGUUGCAAUAGAUGAAAAUAGGCGUUCCAAUGAGUAAUAAAAUAGUUGUAAUAGGUAGUUAAAAAGCUUUGCAUCAGAACAACAACAGCAUCAUAAUAGCUGCUAUUGCAAUGGUUAGUAACUGUUGCAAUAUCAUCUAUUGCGACGGUUAUAAACCGUCGCAAUAGAUGAAAAUAGUCGUUCAAAAAAUAACCAUCACAAUAGAUCUAUCUAUGGCGAUGGUUUCCAGAAACCGUCCCCAUAGCUCUACCUAUGG
rnacentral:lncRNA from 1 species